rnacentral:lncRNA from 1 species
UGAGCUUUCAGAAGGGGAAUGGACUGUGUUUUAUUCAUUUUCAACCCCCAGCACAGUAUUUUGAAUGUGGUGAGACACAAUACAUGUUUGAAGGGCGAGUGAAUGGUUCUCUUUUUCAUUUGUUUAUUGUGGUAAAAUGUACAUAACAUAAAAUUGAUCAUUUUAACUAUUUUAAGUAUACAGUUCAGUGGCCUUGAGUAUGUUUACAUUGUUGUGUAUGGUUCUCUUUUAAUAACCUAAGGAAUAUAUGUUAAUUGUAGAAAAGUUAUUAAAUAGAUAAUCAAACAGAAAAAUGACCUAAACACCCAUCAAAUUCUACCAUCCAUAGAAAACCCAGACUAAUCACUCCUAACAUUUUGGUAUAUAUCCUUUCACAUUGCUUUAUGUACAUUUAUUCCUAUCCACAUAAGAUAUAAAAGUGAUUGUGUUAUAUGUCCUGCAUAGUAACCUGCUCUCAUUUUCCUGACAUGUAGUUGAUAUUUCCAUGUUAAUAACAGAUAAAUGGAUCGAUUUUGAUUUGGUUACACUUCAGCCAUAUUUUUAUGACAUGUACCUCUAGUAACUGUGCUGAUGGGUAGGGAUCAUGGUGGCAGGGCUUAGAAUACAAAUAAAUUUUGUGCAUCAAUUUUUUUCCUCUGAGCACAGCGGAGAACAACGUUGGUUUAGGGCCUGGAUUUAUAGUUGUGGUGCUCUUUGUCAUUUGGCCAUUGCAGGAGGGGUUAGGCAUCUUUUGCUGAGGUCCGUCUUUAGGUCAGGGGUCUAGUGACAGCAUUGCACCAAGGAAUGGGACAAGAACAAUCUCUGUCAUUUGAAUAGAAUGUCAUUUGAAUCUACAGUCUUCCUGGAGAGAGAACAUGUUAUCGAAUGCCUGGCUCGCCUUUAUGACUUAUCUGGGGAAAAUGCCUAUCGAACAAUAAAAUGCUAAUCCCUUCUUCAGAGCACAGCUCAUUUUCAAGUGGCUGCUGUGGCUCUCCCCCACCCCUUCAGUGCGACAGCCUCAGAGCCCGUGGAGAGGCAGAGCGCAGGCAGCUGGUAAGUAGCUGUGAAAUCUUUUGUAAAAUAGAUAUCCAAAAUAUGCUUUUGAAAGAGCAAGUGACAUAUUUUGAUGGAACAGGAUAAUACAGAACUGCGUAGGAAUUUCUGAUUCUCAUCAGUGGCAUUGAGAAAAUGGCUUCAUCAAAUUCUAAAUAUUCCAUGGACACUUUUCUAGUCUAAAGCUUGUCUCUUAAAUUGUGAGUGAGUUCCUAGAAGGAAAUAUAGAAACUUUCCCCUUAUGAUUCUGGUAAGAUAGUUCCCUAAAUAGGACUUGUUGAAGUGUUAUUGAAAUAUCAGCUUUAUGAUGUUUGCAUGAAAUGUGAUGAAAUGGGUGACAAGUCAUGAUGUUCUCAGAUCUGAUUUCCUUUCACAGUAUGGACAGAGCAGGGGGGAAAUGUUAUUUUGCAAUGGGGAAAAGAAUACCAUGCCUCAGUUUUUUUUAAUUAAGAAAAUCAUGUGACUGGAUGUCUGUACAGGAGAGAAAAUGAGGAGGAGGCAGCCUGUAAUGUUCAGAUUAAUUGCUUCACGUGAGAGAUGAACGUGUGUUGAAUGGGAAAGAUUUAAAUUUGGUUUGGGGAGGAAAAAAUCAUGAAAGAGAAAUAACGACAAGUGUGACUGUGCCUUGAUUACGAAAAUAAUUCAUUUGUAUUUAUUGACAUCAAUUUUUACAGUAGAGACAGAAUAUUAUCAGCCUUCUUUCUUGGGAAAGCGAUGUGGAAAAGAUAGCAGAGAUGCCUAUCAACAAAGCUUUUCUGUUUGUUACUGAAGUGUGCCUGAAAAUGGUUAGGCUUUUGUGUCUCCUUUUACCGGGAGCUUGCUUUUGUAGCUAUGUUUCUGUAAGAAAAAAAAGGAAAAAAAAAAAAAAGCUCAAGUGCUAUUUUUUUUUUUUAAUUUCUUCGAAAUUUGGAGUGUUUUGACCUCAGCAGGCAGAAAGGAGAAAAAAGAUAGAUAAGUCGAUUUUUGAGUUAGAUGCCAAAAUAGUAAUCAGGAAGGAAAAAGAAGAGUGAAAUAGCUUAAAAGAAAGUUGACAAGAUGGGCCAUUUUUCCCAAGCUGAAAAUGUCUGCUGGUGGCAUGUUUUGUGGGAGAAAAGAGGGAGGGGGCCGUUGAACACAGCACUGCGGCAAAGAGAAUGACUGACGCGUCCAGGGACAUGUGACCGUCCUCUGGGGUAGCGAAGCGAAUUUUCCAGGAGUCCAUCUUGUAUAAGACAUCCUGUACCUACUGACAUACAAAUAAUACUGUAAUCUUUGUGUAGCACAUGCCGAGUUUGUUUUGCUUGAUCCUCUGUUGAGGUACACUGGGCACCGUUACUCUUCGCUUUUUAUUGUCUCUAUUGCUAGACUUGCUUUUUUCUCUCCUCUCACCACUUUUGCAGUAUUUAUUCCAAUAUCUUGUUAAAAAUGCCGUCUUCCCCCUUUAUUAUAAAAACAUCAGAUAUUUAUUGUAGAAAAUUGGGAAAAAUCUAAAGAUGACUGUGAAAAUUACCCAUACUCCUAUAACCCAGAGAUAAUUACUAUUAAUAUAAUGACUGUCAGCCCCCCUUCUCUCAAUGGAUGCACAUCGAGGCACAAAAUAGAGAUUUAUAAUACAAAAUCAAGUUUAUAUAUAUAUAUAUGUAUGUGUAUAUAUAUAUAUAUGUGUGUGUGUGUAGUUUCAACCAGCUUUAAUCCUUAAACAACAUAUUGGGGGCAAUUCAUUAUAUUUUUAAAUAUUCCACAAGAAUGUGAUGUCUUAUGGGUGCUUAAUUUUCAACCAUACGGGAGGCCCACUUAUUACAUAUGGGAGGUCCAAUUAUUGAAUGUUUCUAUGUGCAAUUCUUGCUGUUAUAGUUUAAGGAAUAUCUUUCCAUAUAAACCUCUGUGUGCUUUUCUGUUUCAUUUUGUUUUCUCCUAGGAUAAAUUCGCAGACGUGGAAUUCCUGGAUCAAAUGGUAUGAACCAGUUUAAGGUUUCUCCCCCCGCUACCCUAUACAUAGCGCCUAAUUUAUUUACCGUAUGUGGUAAAAGGCAUUAUUUUCCAGUUGUGUUUUGCCUAUUCGUGUUUUAUCAUUUAUGGUGGGUUUUCCUAAGACAUGUUGCAGCUUUACGUUUUUAGAUAUCCACAACUAUCAAUUUUUGAUUUCGUGAUUUCUUUCUUUCUUCCGAUGAAUAUAUUCACCUGCAUUUUCUCCUCGUCAUUUCAUUGCUUCAUUUUUUGCAAUGAACUCCAAUUCACCUAGAAUUCAUUUUGGCCUACGGUAUGAAGUAGGAUCUAAUUUUGUGUUUUUUCCAAAUAGGUCACCAAUUGUUUCAGCAUCAUUUAUUGAAUAAUCCACCUUCCUCCACUGAUUUGAAAUGACAAGAACUGUGCUCCCGCUAGAUAGGGGGUAGCUUUCCCCAGGUCAGCCAUUUUCUCUCCACCCAAGAAGGUUACAUCCCACAGUAGCGCUCCUACCUUCUUGCAGCUUCUGGCAGCAUUCUCUAGCACCAUGUUCCUGCUGAUAGCUUUCGCGAAUUCUAGGCACACGCAGUUUGGGGCAUUGGUUUUCAAACCGGAUUUUAAAAUGUGCUGUUCCUCGCAGACCCAGCUGACAGCCUAGUUGCGUAGUCAAAUAAGACGCCCCAGGGUUAGGGUUAUUCUUAAAGUUCUUCCUUCAACCUCUUUUUCUACUCCUCAGGUACUCGGAGCAUUAAAGCUGUCUGGAUUCCUGGAAUUUUCUAGAAUGGUGUAAGAGGGAAAUGUAAGAAAUGUAUAAGGAGCAAAAAUAAAUAAUGUUUGCCAGCCUGUUGCUGGCUAUAG